rnacentral:rRNA from 1 species
AGAGUUUGAUCCUGGCUCAGAAUGAACGCUGGCGUGCUUAACACAUGCAAGUUGAACGGUAACAGGAGGAAGCUUGCUUUCUUGCUGACGAGUGGCGCACGGGUGAGCAAUGCAUAGGUAACGUGCCCCUUAGUCUGGGAUAGCCACUGGAAACGGUGAUUAAUACUAGAUACGCCUUCUCUCUUGAUGAGAGUUGGGAAAGUUUUUCGCUAAGGGAUCGGCCUAUGUUGUAUCAGGUAGUUGGUGAGGUAAUGGCUCACCAAGCCUAUGACACAUAGCGGGUCUGAGAGGAUGAUCCGCCACACUGGUACUGAGACACGGACCAGACUCCUACGGGAGGCAGCAGUGGGGAAUAUUGCACAAUGGACGAAAGUCUGAUGCAGCAACGCCGCGUGGAGGAUGACACAUUUCGGUGCGUAAACUCCUUUUAUAUGAGAAGAUAAUGACGGUAUCAUAUGAAUAAGCACCGGCUAACUCCGUGCCAGCAGCCGCGGUAAUACGGAGGGUGCAAGCGUUAUUCGGAAUCACUGGGCGUAAAGGGUGCGUAGGCGGUUUGGAAAGUCAGAUGUGAAAGCCUACAGCUUAACUGUAGAACUGCAUUUGAAACUUCCAGACUAGAAUACUGAAGGGGCAGAUGGAAUUAGUGGUGUAGGGGUAAAAUCCGUAGAUAUCACUAGGAAUACCGAAAGCGAAAGCGAUCUGCUGGGAAGUUAUUGACGCUGAGGCACGAAAGCGUGGGGAGCAAACGGGAUUAGAUACCCCGGUAGUCCACGCCCUAAACGAUGAAUGCUAGUCGUCGGAGAGCUCGUCCUUUCGGUGAUGCAGUUAACACAUUAAGCAUUCCGCCUGGGGAGUACGGUCGCAAGAUUAAAACUCAAAGGAAUAGACGGGGACCCGCACAAGUGGUGGAGCAUGUGGUUUAAUUCGGAAAUACGCGAAGAACCUUACCUAGCCUUGACAUUGAUAGAAUCUGGUAGAGAUACCGGAGUGCCUGCUUGCAGGAACUUGAAAACAGGUGCUGCACGGCUGUCGUCAGCUCGUGUCGUGAGAUGUUGGGUUAAGUCCCGCAACGAGCGCAACCCUCGUCGUUAGUUGCUAACAGUUCGGCUGAGCACUCUAGCGAGACUGCCUUCGCAAGGAGGAGGAAGGUGAGGACGACGUCAAGUCAUCAUGGCCCUUAUGGCUAGGGCUACACACGUGCUACAAUGGGGCGUACAGAGAGUUGCGAUACCGCGAGGUGGAGCUAUCUCACAAAGCGUCUCUCAGUUCGGAUUGUUCUCUGCAACUCGAGAACAUGAAGCUGGAAUCACUAGUAAUCGUAGAUCAGCAAUGCUACGGUGAAUACGUUCCCGGGUCUUGUACUCACCGCCCGUCACACCAUGGGAGUUGAUUUCACCCGAAAUCGGGAAGCGAACCUUCGGGACGCUACCGCUUACGGUGGAAUUAGCGACUGGGGUGAAGUCGAAACAAGGUA